rnacentral:rRNA from 1 species
UACAUGUGGGGCAAGCGUUGUUCGGAAUCACUGGGCAUAAAGGGUGCGUAGGCGGCUUGUUAAGUCAGGGGUGAAAGUUUUCGGCCCAACCGGAAAAUGGCCUUUGAUACUGGCGAGCUUGAGUGCGUGAGGGGUGACUGGAACGAGUGGUGUAGCGGUGAAAUGCGUAGAUAUCACUCGGAAGGCCAACGGCGAAGGCAAGUCACUGGUACGCAACUGACGCUGAGGCACGAAAGCGUGGGGAGCAAACAG